rnacentral:lncRNA from 1 species
ACAUUGACUUUAAUAAAAAAAAUACCUAGGUUAAUAGCCUACUCAGCCUACAGUAUCGUGCCUAAUAAUAGUAUGGUAUAGGUAUGCUAUAAGAUUUAUUAUUAACACGAACAACAUACGAAAUAAUGAUGGAACACUAGUUUUAAUCAUAUCACAUACGCCAUAGAAAGUGAACGCUAUUGCGACGCAAUAGCGCACGGCGAUUCUGCUUAAAUUACAAAAGGCCAUGACUCAAGCAGCUAAAGUCGCUGUCGAUCCAUUCAUUGUCAACGCAAACCCGCCGAAUAGCGGUCACUCUGUCAACUUGUUGUGUUGAUUUUCGUGAAAAUUUCAAUUCUUUAUAAAUUUCCAGUGUCGAGUGACGUUUAAGUGAAGUGAAUUAAAAAUCAUGUGUACCUUCACGUAGCUAUUUUCAUAUAGAUUGAACAUAACAUAAUACAAAAUCGCUGCGUGAAGGUAUCCUAUGAAAAUCUUUCACGGUUGGACGCUUGAUUAUUUUGCAUAAUUUCACUGUUUAGUGAAUAGAACAGCCUUGAUGUGUAAACAUACGCACAGUACACCUAAUGUUUUAUUCAGUACUGUUUUGAAAUCACAACAUGCAUCACCUACGUUGUGUGUUCACAAAGG